rnacentral:rRNA from 1 species
UACAGAGGUCUCGAGCGUUGUUCGGAUUCAUUGGGCGUAAAGGGUGCGUAGGUGGCGCUGUAAGUCGGGUGUGAAAUCCUGGGGCUUAACCCCGGAACUGCAUUCGAUACUGCAGUGCUUGAGGACUGGAGAGGAGACUGGAAUUCAUGGUGUAGCAGUGAAAUGCGUAGAGAUCAUGAGGAAGACCAGUGGCGAAGGCGGGUCUCUGGACAGUUCCUGACGCUGAGGCACGGAAGGUCAGGGGAGCAAACGGG